rnacentral:rRNA from 1 species
GACGGGGGAUGAAAGCGUUAUCCGGAAUCACUGGGCGUAAAGCGUCUGUAGGUGGUGAUGCAAGUCACUGGAGCAAAACUCUGGCUCAACCGGAGGAAAGCCAGUGAAACUGCAUGACUAGAGUGUGGGAGAGGUAGAAGGAAUUCCCUGAGUAGCGGUGAAAUGCGUAGAUACAGGGAAGAACACCGGAGGCGAAAGCGUUCUACUGGAACACAACUGACACUGAGAGACGAAAGCUAGGGGAGCGAAUGUG